UACGUAGGGGGCAAGCGUUGUCCGGAAUUAUUGGGCGUAAAGAGCGUGUAGGCGGUCCGGUAAGUCAGCUGUGAAAGUCAAGGGCUCAACCCUUGAAAGCCGGUUGAUACUGUCGGGCUAGAGUCCGGAAGAGGCGAGUGGAAUUCCCGGUGUAGCGGUGAAAUGCGCAGAUAUCGGGAGGAACACCAAUGGCGAAGGCAGCUCGCUGGGACGGUACUGACGCUGAGACGCGAAGCGUGGGAGCAACAGG
rnacentral:rRNA from 1 species